rnacentral:rRNA from 1 species
AACGCUGGCGGCAGGCCUAACACAUGCAAGUCGAGCGGUAGCACAGAGAGCUUGCUCUCGGGUGACGAGCGGCGGACGGGUGAGUAAUGUCUGGGAAACUGCCUGAUGGAGGGGGAUAACUACUGGAAACGGUAGCUAAUACCGCAUAACGUCGCAAGACCAAAGUGGGGGACCUUCGGGCCUCAUGCCAUCAGAUGUGCCCAGAUGGGAUUAGCUAGUAGGUGGGGUAACGGCUCACCUAGGCGACGAUCCCUAGCUGGUCUGAGAGGAUGACCAGCCACACUGGAACUGAGACACGGUCCAGACUCCUACGGGAGGCAGCAGUGGGGAAUAUUGCACAAUGGGCGCAAGCCUGAUGCAGCCAUGCCGCGUGUGUGAAGAAGGCCUUCGGGUUGUAAAGCACUUUCAGCGGGGAGGAAGGCGGUGAGGUUAAUAACCUCAUCGAUUGACGUUACCCGCAGAAGAAGCACCGGCUAACUCCGUGCCAGCAGCCGCGGUAAUACGGAGGGUGCAAGCGUUAAUCGGAAUUACUGGGCGUAAAGCGCACGCAGGCGGUCUGUCAAGUCGGAUGUGAAAUCCCCGGGCUCAACCUGGGAACUGCAUUCGAAACUGGCAGGCUAGAGUCUUGUAGAGGGGGGUAGAAUUCCAGGUGUAGCGGUGAAAUGCGUAGAGAUCUGGAGGAAUACCGGUGGCGAAGGCGGCCCCCUGGACAAAGACUGACGCUCAGGUGCGAAAGCGUGGGGAGCAAACAGGAUUAGAUACCCUGGUAGUCCACGCUGUAAACGAUGUCGAUUUGGAGGUUGUGCCCUUGAGGCGUGGCUUCCGGAGCUAACGCGUUAAAUCGACCGCCUGGGGAGUACGGCCGCAAGGUUAAAACUCAAAUGAAUUGACGGGGGCCCGCACAAGCGGUGGAGCAUGUGGUUUAAUUCGAUGCAACGCGAAGAACCUUACCUGGUCUUGACAUCCACAGAACUUUCCAGAGAUGGAUUGGUGCCUUCGGGAACUGUGAGACAGGUGCUGCAUGGCUGUCGUCAGCUCGUGUUGUGAAAUGUUGGGUUAAGUCCCGCAACGAGCGCAACCCUUAUCCUUUGUUGCCAGCGGUUAGGCCGGGAACUCAAAGGAGACUGCCAGUGAUAAACUGGAGGAAGGUGGGGAUGACGUCAAGUCAUCAUGGCCCUUACGACCAGGGCUACACACGUGCUACAAUGGCAUAUACAAAGAGAAGCGACCUCGCGAGAGCAAGCGGACCUCAUAAAGUAUGUCGUAGUCCGGAUUGGAGUCUGCAACUCGACUCCAUGAAGUCGGAAUCGCUAGUAAUCGUAGAUCAGAAUGCUACGGUGAAUACGUUCCCGGGCCUUGUACACACCGCCCGUCACACCAUGGGAGUGGGUUGCAAAAGAAGU